rnacentral:rRNA from 1 species
CCUACGGGAGGCAGCAGUGAGGAAUAUUGGUCAAUGGGCGGGAGCCUGAACCAGCCAAGUCGCGUGAGGGAAGACGGUCCUAUGGAUUGUAAACCUCUUUAGGCGGGGAGCAAUGCCGGGCACGCGUGCCCGGAGGGAGAGUACCCGCAGAAUAAGCAUCGGCUAACUCCGUGCCAGCAGCCGCGGUAAUACGGAGGAUGCGAGCGUUAUCAGGAUGUAUUGGGUUUAAAGGGUGCGUAGGCGGAUUUUUAAGUCAGCGGUAAAAUGUCCGGGCUCAACCCGGGCCGGCCGUUGAAACUGGGGAUCUUGAGUGGGCGAGAAGUAUGCGGAAUGCGUGGUGUAGCGGUGAAAUGCAUAGAUAUCACGCAGAACUCCGAUUGCGAAGGCAGCAUACCGGCGCCCGACUGACGCUGAGGCACGAAAGCGUGGGGAUCGAACAGGAUUAGAUACCCCAGUAGUC